rnacentral:rRNA from 1 species
AGGACGAACGCUUGCGGCGUGCCUAAGAAAUGCAAGUCGAGCGAGGUUUAGGCUUCGGCCGACGACCUAGCGGCGAACGGUCGCGUAACACGUAAGCAACCUGCCCUAAAGUUGGGGAUAGCCCGCCGAAAGGCGGAUUAAUACCGAAUGUGGAUAUGUAUUCGCAUGUAUAUAUAUCUGAAGCAGCGAUGCGCUUUAGGAUGGGCUUGCGGCCUAUCAGUUAGUUGGUGUGGGUAACGGCCUACCAAGACGACGACGGGUAGCUGGUCUGAGAGGAUGGUCAGCCGGAUUGGGACUGAGACACGGCCCAGACUCCUACGGGGGGGCAGCAAUUAGGAAUCUUGCGCAAUGGGCGAAAGCCUGACGCAGCGACGCCGCGUGACUGAUGAAGUCUUUCGAGAUGUAAAGGUCUUUUGUUGGGGACGAAGGAAGUGACGGUACCCGACGAAUAAGCCCCGGCUAACUACGUG